UGCGAGAGCAACACCCGUUGGUCACCGCCCCGCACAAACCCUACCCUUUCCAGUGCUCCCAAAUCGACGCAGCCGCCUCCCCUCUCCCUCCCUUCCUCCCCAAACGCGUCGGCCGCCUCCUCUCCACCUGCCAUACCGCGUCCCCGCUGCCGCCAUGGCCUCUUCAGGAGGCACGCCCGUCCAUGGUGUGAAGCAGCAGACCAGGAUCUGGAUGAGGAAGAGGAGAUCCGGGCGCCCCAACGGUGGAUCGAUCGAUGCGAGGUGACAACGAGCUCCUCCGGACGUGGGGGAGCAGCGAGGCCGGAGAUCCAGUCGGCGCAUGCGGGUCGAAUUAGCUGCAGCGCUCCGGUCCCCAAGCCGCCUCCAGGCUCGCUUCCUCCAUCCUCCCACGUCGAUUGCACCCCUCCUCCCGCAUCUCACCCAUCUCGAUGGAUGGCGUGCGGGCACAGAGGCGAGGUUCUCCGGCGGCGGCGGGAACCUCCAGGCAGAGCGACCCCAUGGAUCCGUCCCUGCAGGAGAGAAGGAAUGAGAGGAGCAGCGGCGCUGGCCUCUCCUCUCCCUGCACCGCCGCUGUCCUGCGUUGUCACUGACGUCCCCAAGUGCUUCUCUCCAGAAAUGGUGCCACCAUGUCCAGAUCAAGUCAAGCGCCAGACAUAUGGAGGAAGAUUAGUUAGUAAUGCCCAUAUGAAUUUGAACGUACAAUUUAUAGACAUCCUUCAAUUGCAUUACAAGCCCUGGAAGAGCGACACCAGCCAGGCAUUGUAUGGGAUGGAUCUAUCAUGCUGAGAUUAGUUGUAGACUUCCUUGCUGAACCCUGCAUGGAGCAAUGCAUCCCCAGUUUGCUUCCAGAGGAGGAAGGGGAAGAGAUCUGAGAGAGGAGAGGAACAGAAGAAUCCAUUAGAAGAAUUUAGUGAAGAACAAGGUGACUCUCUCUCUCUCUCAUGUGAACACGGUUCAUUUUGAUGUUAUGAUUUGUGCUAAUGUAAAUAUGAGUUAUGCAUAUAUUGUCUAAAUGUAUUAGAAAAAUGGUCUGGUUGCGCAAACAUUUGGUAGACACUUUUUUUAUUCAAGAUGGAACAAGUUGUUUGGAUGUAUUCUGUUACCGAUAUUCAUGUAAAUGGCUUGCACACUUUGUUUUGUUAUAAAGUAAACAUAUGGGUGUAUGGUUAUCGGAAUUCAGAGGUCCUGCGAUGGCAUCAAGAGCCUCUCUGGUUUUGAUUUUCUGGUAUAAAAUUUAAUCUUUACCGAACAAUGUGAAAUAGAUUGGAAGAAGAGCAUAUAUAAGGACUGACCUUUUCAUGUUGCUUUCUUCAGGGCAAUGUUUAUUGACGAUUUUUUGCUUUGGAAAACACUUUCCGUAUGCUGCCUGAAAUGGAUUCUUCAUAACGUUGUCUUUGAAUUCGCACCAAAUUCAGUCACAAUUCAAUACUGAUUAAAGCAAUAGGAAUUUCACCGGCAAGUGUUUGUGAGUCGUUCUUGGCAUAUAUUGUCCUAUAGUAAUACUUGAUGUAGUUAUUGAAUCGAGAUAUCUGGAUUUAUUUACUUCCAUUUGACUUAUUCAUUCUGGGAUGAAUUUUGUGUUCGCCUGCCUUUCACCUCUACACACCAUCAUUGUUUUCUUGAUGUUGUCACCCAUGUGUUAAUGUUGUAGAAGAUGUAUCAUUUGACUUCUUUUAGGCUCUAUUUUUUUACUGAGCAUACGUGGAUGCCCAUGAAGUGUUCAUUGUUUUUUUAACAAGUAAAUAUUGAUGCACAGAAGAUUUAUAUGGUAGUUUCCAUUCUGGUUUACAUGGGUAGUACCUGAAGCUUAUUUAUAUUUCCACUCCUGUGGAUUUAUUUGAGAUUCUUGAUUCUUGACAUAUCAGGAGUUAGUGUUGGUGUUACGUUCUACCAGAUCCAUUUUUUGCUCAUGUUUCUUAGGUUCAAUUAGUGUUCUCCAUUUUUCUAAUAAGUGAACGUGGACACAUACAGACAGUAGAGGAACAAUCACUGUUCUCUUUGUGUUUUAGCGAGUAUAUGUGGAUGCACAGAAAGCAUUAUGUUCUUGUUUACAAGGUAGUACAUGGAGCAUAUUUACUUUGUCUAAACUGUAAUAUUUAUUUUGUCUGCUUGCAUCAAAAUCAAAAUGCGGCUUUUGCUUGCUAAUAAUUUUGGUUACGGUGUGGCUGGCUACCUAUUACUCAAGAUGGUUCCAUAUUAUAUCAUCAAUUUCAGGAACCUUAUCUCAUAUGUUGCUGAUUUCAUAACAGAUUGUUGGCAUUGUAGCUUCAAGAGACAUGUAUGUUGCUUAUCUUUUGCCUACUGAGCACACAAAACAAAUGUUUCUAUGAAUAUAUGUAAGUGAAACAACAUGCUCCCAUUUUUGGUCAGUUGGUGGACCUGACUAAUACAUAUUUUUUUGGUGAGAGAUAUUAUUCAUAUGUUCUCAGCCAUGUACCCAUAAUUAAUAAACUAAUGGUUUUUUUGUUGGGCUGUUGCUGCCUCCAAUCUUUUGCCCGGCAAACAAAUGCUCAAUAUUUAUUUGUUUUCUCCUUCCUACGAGUGCUUCGUCCUUGUAUCUGUUGGUGGAAUACAAUGUUCUUUAUUCUCCAUGUUUUGGUUAAUAUCAAUUUCCAUGCUUCAUGUUUGUUUACCUUUCUCAUUUUUGCACUGUCUUGUAUUAAAACAGGAUUCUUUACUCAAAUCCUGCUAAUAACUAAAGCCUUUCAAGGAUGUUGCUUCAAUAUGGAAAGAUGUUCCCCUGCAAGUUUUUUGAUUGUUACAACAAAGACUACUUUUUGAGUUGUCGAGGCGAGUUGAUGAUCUAACCACUAGCGGCUGAGAAACUUCAUUUAGAAUGUGACGUGUCAUGUACUUAUAGGCUAAUCGAGUGACCUUUUUGUUAUCUAUGGAAUAUGAAUCUCCAAAUUUUGUGCGUGCUCUAAGCAGUAAGCACUCAAAAUUUGUGGUUGUAAACAAUAUUUAACCUUGUUAUUCUUCACAAAUAGUGUAAUGACAUAGGAAGAUAUAAACAUGGUAUUUUCUGAUGGUCUCUUUUAAAUUGGGCCAGUAAUUUUAUUUGUGUAGAUAACAACAUGUGGACCUCCUUCAGAGUCAUGGGAAGAAAAACUUUGGGUUAAAAGCAAAUUUAAACACGUUGUAUUUUUCGGAUUUUGUGAUUUAUGAUGUUCAGGUCAAGGAUGUCAAGUUCUGCUUCUCUGUUUCGAACCUUUUAUUCUCUGUUUGGCCUAUAACUUGUAUUGCCUUAUUGGUAAAGAUUUAAAUUAAGCCUUGCUGCUACAAACUUUUAUUUUCUUGGAGAAGAUUGUAUUCAUUGGUUGGUGAGUUGAUCUAUUUGUGAUUUGUACCUCGGUUGACAGAACAUCUGAUAUUUGAAAUGAUGAAUCGGGGAUCUUAGGGUCAUUAGAGCAUAUGUAACUCGGGAACAACGACAAGUUGUUUAUGUUGAAGGUGAUCACACCUUGAUUGCUGGACAUGAUCGGAUUCAGUUAGAUGUGAUAUUGGGGUCCAAAAAGAUUGAGGUUUGUACAACUCCUAAAAGUUCAUCUAAUCCUUUCAAGCACUCAGUCCCUUUUAGGGUUAUGUUUGUUUCACCUAAUUAAUAAUUGGAAUUUGUUGGCACCAAACAUUAGUCUACACUCGUAUUUAUGAUGAGAACUAUGAAAAUUUAUUUUGUAGUACAUUGUGGUUUAUUAGUGUUCUACAGACUAUGGUCAUUUGUGUUAUGUUCUCUAUUAUAAACUGUCACAAUAUUUGGCCAAACCUUGCGUACAUCCUGUACAUAUUUUUCUCAGUUUAAGCCCCCAUUCAGCAUUCUGGUGAUUAUGCCAAUCACCGUUGUCUGAACCCUGAUUUAGAUGUUUGGAAGCGUGUCUAGCUGCCUUUUUCUGAGGUUGCUGACAAAUAUACUACUGUCUCUUCCAAAACAUAUGGUAUGAAAUUUAGCUACAACCAUUUGACUGUCUCUUCCAAACCUUCCUUGCUUUUGCAAAUAAUACUUUAUGGUUGGCACUAUUGUCUAUAUCUGCCAAAUAUUUACAUGUUAGUAUAGCCAGAAAUUCAGAUGCCACACAUUAGUGAUGGUUUGUUAUUCAUCAUUCCAUGUUGGUUAGCCAUGAUAAAUUUGAUUUCUAGAGUAGCAGAUGAUUCAUGUCAGGUUUCUUUUAGAGAUCGAAAUAUGUGUUGACUCUGAAAUAAGUAGUACGCCGUCCAGUUCUGCAUAGGUGAAAGCAUACUGAUCCCAUUUACAUACUAUGCAAAACUGGACGGCCUUCUAAAUAUCUAAAACUACUAUUUGUUGUGUAAUCUGUAUCACCUCUUCAUACUCUGUAUAUGCUUUCGACUUACUCCCUCCGUCUGAAAAAACUUGUCCCUCAUACAUGUAUCUAGCACCAAGUUAGUGCUAGAUACAUCCAUUUGAAAGAUAAGCUUGAGACAAGUUUUUCUGGACGGAGGGAGUACUAGGUAAAAGUGCGUGAGAAUGAUGGCCUUUUAUUCAUUCAAGAGCUCUAAAUGACACCGUUGUAUUGGCAACAUAUUCAGUCAUUUCGGAUCAUCUUGUUGGUGUGUGCUGUAAAAUGAGUUGUGACAUUUGUUGGUAUGUGCUGUAAAAAACUGAAAAAAGGCAGUUCAUGUUUAUUUUUCUUCUGAA